UGCCUAACACAUGCAAGUCGAACGGUAACAGGUCUUCGGAUGCUGACGAGUGGCGCACGGGUGAGUAACGCGUGGAUAUCUGCCUAUGAGUGGGGGACAACUUUCGGAAACGAAAGCUAAUACCGCAUAAUCUCUACGGAGCAAAGCAGGGGACCUUUCGGGGCCUUGUGCUUAUAGAUGAGUCCGCGUCAGAUUAGCUAGUUGGUGGGGUAAGAGCCUACCAAGGCGAUGAUCUGUAGCUGGUUUGAGAGGAUGAUCAGUCACACUGGAACUGAGACACGGUCCAGACUCCUACGGGAGGCAGCAGUGGGGAAUUUUGCACAAUGGGCGCAAGCCUGAUGCAGCGAUGCCGCGUGUGGGAAGAAGGCCUUUGGGUUGUAAACCACUUUCAAUUGGGAAGAAGGGAUGAGUAUUAAUAAUACUCUGACUUGACGGUACCUUUAGAAGAAGCACCGGCUAAUUUCGUGCCAGCAGCCGCGGUAAUACGAAAGGUGCAAGCGUUGUUCGGAUUUACUGGGCGUAAAGAGAUCGUAGGUGGUUUGUUAAGUUAGAUGUGAAAUCCCGGGGCUCAACCUCGGAACUGCAUCUAAAACUGGCAGACUUGAGUUCGGGAGGGGUAAGCGGAAUUCCGUGUGUAGCAGUGAAAUGCGUAGAUAUACGGAGGAACACCUGAGGCGAAGGCGGCUUACUGGACCGAUACUGACACUGAGGAUCGAAAGCGUGGGUAGCAAACAGGAUUAGAUACCCUGGUAGUCCACGCCCUAAACGAUGUCAACUAGCCGUUGCGGGUAUCGACCCCUGCAGUGGCGCAGCUAACGCGAUAAGUUGACCGCCUGGGGAGUACGGU
rnacentral:rRNA from 1 species